rfam:Daphnia pulex DAPPTscaffold_597_Cont10172, whole genome shotgun sequence.
GGUUCUUUGGUGUAAUGGUUAACACCUCAAACUCGUACUCUGUCAAUCUGAGUUCAAAUCUCAGAAUGACCU